GACAGAGGGUGCAAACGUUGUUCGGAAUUACUGGGCGUAAAGGGCGCGUAGGCGGGAUGGCAAGUCGGUCGUGAAAUCCCUCGGCUCAACUGAGGAUCGUCGAUCGAUACUGCCGUUCUUGAGGAUUGCAGAGGAGACUGGAAUUCCCGGUGUAGCGGUGAAAUGUGUAGAGAUCGGGAGGAACACCGGUGGCGAAGGCGGGUCUCUGGGCAAUUCCUGACGCUGAGGCGCGAAGGCGUGGGGAGCAAACGGG
rnacentral:rRNA from 1 species